UGGGAACGCGAAGAACCUUACCAGGUCUUGACAUCCUUUGACAAUCCUAGAGAUAGGACUUUCCCUUCGGGGACAAAGUGACAGGUGGUGCAUGGUUGUCGUCAGCUCGUGUCGUGAGAUGUUGGGUUAAGUCCCGCAACGAGCGCAACCCCUAUUGUUAGUUGCCAGCAUUCAGUUGGGCACUCUAAUGAGACUGCCGGUGACAAACCGGAGGAAGGUGGGGAUGACGUCAAAUCAUCAUGCCCCUUAUGACCUGGGCUACACACGUGCUACAAUGGAUGGUACAACGAGCAGCAAGACCGCGAGGUCAAGCGAAUCUCUUAAAGCCAUUCUCAGUUCGGAUUGCAGGCUGCAACUCGCCUGCAUGAAGCCGGAAUCGCUAGUAAUCGCGGAUCAGCACGCCGCGGUGAAUACGUUCCCGGGUCUUGUACACACCG
rnacentral:rRNA from 1 species